rnacentral:rRNA from 1 species
ACGAUCAUAGGCAGCGUAAAAUACGGGGUCCCGUUCGCUCCCCCAGAGUCAAGCCGCUGACCGGCAGAUUAGUAGCUGGAUCGGUGACGGCCAGCGAACACCGGCUAUUGUAUGUC